ACCUCAUUUUCAUGGUUCAGUGACUACUUGAAAAAAAAGUUCAGAUUUUUUGUAAUGUUAAAUUCUCUCUUAUUAUAAGUAAUAGGAUAACUAUAUUUGGUAUGUGCGUACCUUGCAAGGUCCUCAUGCCCGUCAGACAGUUUUCACUUGACCUCGACCUCAUUUCAUGGAUCAGUGAACAAGGUUAAGUUUUCGUGGUCAAGUCCAUAUCUCAGAUACUAUAAGCAAUAGGUCUAGUAUAUUCGGUGUAUGGAAGGACUGUAAGGUGUACAUGUCCAACUGGCAGGUGUCAUCUGACCUUGACCUCGUUUUCAUGGUUCAGUGGUUAUAGUUAAGUUUUUGUGUUUUGGUCUGUUUUUCUUAUACUGUAUGCAAUAGGUCUACUAUAUUUGGUGUAUGGAAGGAUUGUAAGGUGUGCAUGUCUAGCUGGCAGGUGUCAUCUGACCUUGACCUCAUUUUCAUGGUUCAGUGGUUAUAGUUGAGUUUUUGUGUUUUGGUCUGUUUUUCUUAUACUGUAUGCAAUAGGUCUACUAUAUUUGGUGUAUGGAAGGAUUGUAAGGUGUACAUGUCUAGCUGGCAGGUGUCAUCUGACCUUGACCUCAUUUUCAUGGUUCAGUGGUUAUAGUUGAGUUUUUGUGUUUUGGUCUGUUUUUCUUAUACUGUAUGCAAUAGGUCUACUAUAUUUGGUGUAUGGAAGGAUUGUAAGGUGUACAUGUCUAGCUGGCAGGUGUCAUCUGACCUUGACCUCAUUUUCAUGGUUCAGUGGUUAUAGUUGAGUUUUUGUGUUUUGGUCUGUUUUUCUUAUACUGUAUGCAAUAGGUCUACAAUAUUUGGUGUAUGGAAUGAUUGUAAGGUGUACAUGUCUAGCUGGCAGGUGUCAUCUGACCUUGACCUCAUUUUCAUGGUUCAGUGGUCAAAGUUAAGUUUUUGAGUUUUGGUCUUUUUUUCUAAUACUGCAUGCAAUAGGUCUACUAUAUUUGGUGUAUGGAAUGAUUGUAAGGUGUACAUGUCUAGCUGGCAGGUGUCAUCUGACCUUGACCUCAUUUUCAUGGUUCAGUGGUCAAAGUUAAGUUUUUGAGUUUUGGUCUUUCUUUCUAAUACUGCAUGCAAUAGGUCAGCUAUAUUUGGUGUAUGGAAUGAUUGUAAGGUGUACAUGUCUAGCUGGCAGGUGUCAUCUUACCUUGACCUCAUUUUCAUGGUUCAGUGGUCAAAGUUAAAGUUUUUGAGUUUUGGUCUUUUUUUCUAAUACUAUAUGCAAUAGUUCAACUAUAUUUGGUGUAUGGAAAUAUUUUAUGAUCUAUAUGUCAGUUACGCAGGUUUUAUUUGACCUUGACCUCAUUUUCAAGGUUCAUUGCUCAGUGUUAAGUUUUUGUGUUUUCGUCUGUUUUUCUUAAACUAUAAGCAAUAGGUCAACUAUAUUUGUUGUAAGGAAGAAUUGUUAGCUGUACAUGCCUGCCUAGCAUGGUUCAUCUGACCUUGACCUCAUUUUCAUGGUUCAUUGGUCAAUGUUUAGUUUACUUGGUUAAUGUUAAGUUUAUGUGACAGUUGUAAUAAAGCUUUAUAUUUAGGACUAUCAACAUAAUAUCAAUGAUUAGUAAAGAAGGCGAGACAUUUCAGCGUGUGCACUCUUGUUGUGUUUUGGUCUGUUUUUCUUAUACUGUAUGCAAUAGGUCUACUAUAUUUGGUGUAUGGAAUGAUUGUAAGGUGUACAUGUCCAACUGGCAGGUGUCAUCUGACUUUGACCUUAUUUUCAUGGUUCAGUGGUCAAAGUUAAGUUUUUGAGUUUUGGUCUUUUUUCUUAUACUAUAUGCAAUAAGUCAACUAUAUUUGGUGUAUGGAAAUAUUCUAUGAUGUACAUGUCAGUCUCGCAGGUUUUAUUUGACCUUGACCUCAUUUUCACGGUUCAUUGCUCAGUGUUAAGUUUAUAUGUUUCAGUCUGUUUUUCUUAAACUAUAAGCAAUAGGUCAGCUAUAUUUGUUGUAUGGAAGGAUUGUAAUCUGUUCAUGUCUGCCUGGCAUGGUUCAUCUGACUUUGACCUCAUUUUCACGAUUCAUUGGUCAAUGUUUAGUUUUCUUGGUUAAGUCUGUUUCUUAGAAACUAUAAGCAAUAGGUCAACUAUAUUUAGUGUAUUGAAUGAU